GGGAGAUUUCCCUCUUUUGAACUGCUCCAGGUGCCUGUUAAAAUGAGAAUACCCUCAGGAGAGAAAACAAGCAGAAGGAUUAGCCCCCAGAAACUAUUUUGCUUUCAUUAGAUUCUCAGAAUGUGUCUGGGGCUCUAAAGAGAAUGAGAAGA